UCGUAGUUGAAUUUCGGGAUUGACACAUCGGUCGUGCCUUAAGGGGUAUGAACUGGUGUAGUCAGUUCUCACCUUCUGGAGAACCGUGAUGUCCUUAAUUGGGUGCCGCGAGGAACCAGGACCUUUACUUUGAAAAAAUUAGAGUGUUUAAAGCAGGCAUUUUGCUUGAAUACAUUAGCAUGGAAUAAUAAAAUAGGACGGAUGGUUCUAUUUUGUUGGUUUCUAGGAUCACCGUAAUGAUUAAUAGGGAUAGUUGGGGGCAUUAGUAUUCAAUCGUCAGAGGUGAAAUUCUUGGAUUUAUUGAAGACUAACUACUGCGAAAGCAUUCGCCAAGGAUGUUUUCAUUAAUCAGUGAACGAAAGUUAGGGGACCGAAGACGAUCAGAUACCGUCGUAGUCUUAACCAUAAACUAUGCCGACUAGGGAUCGGACGGGCAACUUUUAAUAACCCGUUCGGCGCCUUUCGGGAAAC
rnacentral:rRNA from 2 species